UGCCGCGGAGCGGCUAGGCCCGUGAGCCAUGGCCGCUGAGCCUGCGCGUCCAGAGCCUGUGCUCCGCAACGGGAGAGGCCACAACACAUUAUCUCUUCUGGAUAGCGUGUGAGCAGACAAAGAUCAUCUGGCAAGAAGCACCCUAAAAUUGUAUCUUGGUUAAGAAUCCACCGGCCAAUGCAGGGAACACAAGUUCGAUCCCUGCUUUGGGAAGAUCCCACAUGCCGCAGAGCAUCUAAGCCCAUGCACCAUGACUACUGAGCCUGCGCUCUAGAGCCCGCGAGCCACAACUACUGAAGCUCGCACGCCUAGACCCCGUGCUCUGCAACAAGAGAAGCCACCGCAGUGAGAAGCCCGCUCACCACAACGAAGAGUAGCCCCUGCUCACCGCAACUAGAAAAAGCCCGCGCGCAGCAAUGAAGACCCAACGCAGCCAAAAAUAAAUUAAUU